GACCCUCAUUCCCCUCGGAGCAUUGCAUAUUCGAGCGUCGUGAAGAACUAGCCGAGAAAGUCAAGUUAAGCAAGAAUGCAUUGUUGGUGGGGAAAGAAAAAAGGGGGUAGACGUGGACAAGGUACAGGACCACAUAUGCGUAGCAGACACAGAGCAACAGGCCCAAGAGAAGAAGAAGGGCGGGUUGUCUUCGUUGUGAGCAAACUUUGCCAUGUGGUCGACCAGAGGUCUCCUUUCUCUCUUUCUUUCGAUCCACCCAAUUGAUUAAUUAGAAGGGUAGAAAUGAAA
ensembl:ncRNA C54D1.9 ncRNA